AUUCGCGCAUACGUAAAUUGAAAUACGCGCGGACGGAAAGACAUUUCUAUUCUAGUCUCCACUGCCUCAUCCCUUCCCCGAAGGGCUGCUCAUCGAUGAAGAAGCCAUGGAAGAUCAGGGGAGCUUGCCCAAAAUCAGGGCGCCUUUCACUUUCCCCUUAUACAGCACCGCAGAGCUCAUGCCCAUUGUCCCCGUGGAGGAGGGUAUUGGAAGCAUUGGACGUAGUUCUUUUUAUUGUUGUCCUAAACAAAUAGCGUUUCUCGUUGUAUGCUUUUGGGUGUUUUGUCUUCGUACUGUAAAGUGGCAGGAAUUGAAUUGAUUCAACAUCUUUUUACGUUUUUUUGUCUGUUUGUGCUUGAAUUAUGUUCUGGGAUCUACCGAUACAAUCUUCUCAAAACCAGUCGGAAUUUAUGGUAGUUAUCUAAGAUUUGUAUAGCUUUUUUCACGUAUUUAGAUUAUUUUGGUGCUCCGUGAUUGUUUGUUUCUGGAUUUUGUAUUUGUCGUGUUGGCUGGUAGGAAUUGUUCUUUCUUUUGCUUCUUUUAAACUUACUGUCAUGUAUCUUAACCUUCUGAAAAUGUAAUGGAGAUUUAGCCACUGGCAAAGGGUUAGGUUACCAAGCUCUUUUGGCCAAGAACAAUUACUUUUAUGAGUUCUAGAUACAGAAUGUCUGCUUGACUGAACAUGGGAAUAAACAUUUAGUGGCUUUAUCACAGCAUAAAUCACUUUAUGAUGUUGGAAAGGUCAAGCUUGAAUGCAAGAGUUGGUUUCAUUUCAAUGAUUUGAACUUCAAUUUGAACCAACUAUCUUAUUUGGUUCGUGCCUUGGUGGUUUGCCAAUUCGUUUCAUGCUAAUGGUUCUUGUAUUUCAUCAAAUUUAGCUGGUACGAAUUGACUCUAUUUAUGAGAUAUCAAUCCUAGAUUUUAUGAGGGUACUCAAUCUUCAGCCUCGAUAUGACUUCAAGCCGGUAUAAUUUGGAUCGUGUUUGCAUUUUUCAUGGUGUUUAAAUUCUUUCUGAGCCCGUGAUUAAUCACUUUAGUUCUGUUCCAUUGAAUAAAUAUGUCCUUGUUUUGAGCUCGUACACUUAUAGCUCUGAAGCUGGGGCUCAUGGGUGAUUGAAUUAAUCGGCUUUAUCAUUUAAUUGUGAGCUUCACUUUUUCUACGACAAAAUUUCAUUCUCAAUAUUGCUUCCCUAUGCUUCACAGGUAAUCUUGUUUUAAAUUUUGUUUCAUUGAUUAUCACCUUGCAUUAGAACCGUGGUUAUCAUGUUCCUUGACCAUGAAGUUCUCCUAGCUGUCAGUUUAUUGUGAACUGACAAGGAUUAAACCUGAGAGCGCAGUUGAGGAAUAAGUCAACCCAAUCCAUUCACAUUCCUGAGAAUGGAAAAAUGUGCAAGACGAGAGAGUUGCACAUUUUGAUUGGAGGGCUUGUACCAUAUAUCUUUCUAGACAAUGAACUUGUUUGUUCUGCCGUUUCUAUGCAGAAGUUGGAUUUUUUAUGAGUUCACCUGAUGUUGGUUUUUUGCAAAGAAUAAAGGAGAAGGGGAAAAGACUGCAGAAAUAACCCAAUGGCAUCAAGUUUCGGUUUACCGAUAUCGAUAGCUGUGACCUCCAAUCAUACAAAAAUUCAAUCAUUUGAGAGAAUGAAAGAAGUUUGCUUGGUUAUGAGGAUUCAAAGACGUGGGUUGAUGCCAAAUGCUACAUUCCUUGAAAGUUGACGUCCAGCCGCUCCCACCUCCAUCGCUUCCAUAGCAUUGAUUGAAAUCAUCUUGGAUGGGCUUGGUGGUUGUUGAGCUGAUGAAAAAGGUAAUGGGCCAACUUGACUAGAAUUGGAUCAAUGAGGGUCAUGGUAGCCCGAUAUAGAAGUUUCGCACAUUUCAGAUGUGGUAAAGUUAAGUGAGACCACAUAAAGAGCCCAAGAGUUUGCCUCUAGGAUCAUCUUACUUAGGAAGCAUCCCAUUUAUAUUGGAGUUCAGUUCUAUCCCAUUUUUAGGAGUUACAAAAUUGUAAAGUACGGUUAGUUCCAUUCUCGAACCUUACAAUUUACCUUCUCAAAAAUAAUUCAUGAACUACAAAUUCAUUUAUUUUCGAGCUCAAUUUCUUUUUAUAUCUCAUUUGGUGUAGGCUUCUCUUUGGAGUUUUAUCAUUCUUACUAGUCACAACCAUGGCCAAUGUUCUAAUCA